GAUGAGUCCGCGGCCCAUCAGCUAGUUGGCGGGGUAAUGGCCCACCAAGGCGAAGACGGGUAGCUGGUCUGAGAGGAUGACCAGCCACACUGGAACUGAGACACGGUCCAGACUCCUACGGGAGGCAGCAGUGGGGAAUAUUGCGCAAUGGAGGAAACUCUGACGCAGCAACGCCGCGUGAGUGAUGAAGGUCUUCGGAUCGUAAAGCUCUGUCGGCAGGAAAGAUGGCCCAAGGUUCUAACAGGCCCUUGGGUUGACGGUACCUGCAAAGGAAGCACCGGCUAACUCUGUGCCAGCAGCCGCGGUAAUACAGAGGGUGCAAGCGUUGUUCGGAAUUAUUGGGCGUAAAGGGCGCGUAGGCGGUCUUUCAAGUCGGAUGUGAAAGCCCAGGGCUCAACCUUGGAAGUGCAUUCGAAACUGAAAGACUAGAGUUCACGGAGAGGGUGGUGGAAUUCCCAGUGUAGAGGUGAAAUUCGUAGAUAUUGGGAGGAACACCAGUGGCGAAGGCGACCACCUGGACGGAAACUGACGCUGAGGCGCGAGAGCGUGGGUAGCAAACAGGAUUAGAUACCCUGGUAGUCCACGCC
rnacentral:rRNA from 1 species